AACGAACGCUGGCGGCGGGCCUCAUACAUGCAAGUCGAGCGCAGCGGCGCACGGGUGAGUAACACGUGGAUAAUCUACCCUUUGGAUUGGAAUAACCUGUCGAAAGACGGGCUAAUGCCGAGUCCGAUGGAUGAGUCUGCGUCCCAUUAGUUAGUUGGUGAGGUAACGGCUUACCCAGACAAUGAUGGGUACCUGGUCUGAGAGGAUGAUAAGGCACACUGGAACUGAAACAAGGUCCAGACUCCUACGGGAGGCAGCAGUAGGGAAUAUUGCGCAAUGGACGAAAGUCUGACGCAGCCACGCCGCGUGAGUGAGGAAGGCCUUCGGGUUGUAAAGUCUGUCGCCUGGGAAAUGGUACCAGGAGAGGAAGCACCGGCAAACUCUGUGCCAGCAGCCGCGGUAAUUC
rnacentral:rRNA from 1 species